CAGAACAAAUACAUUUAUACAGGUUUGGAACAACUUGAGGGUGUGUAAAUAAUGACAUUUUUAUUUUUGGGUGAAUUAUCCCUUUAAUAUCUUUAUUAACAAUAUUAACAUCUCAAUGGCAUUUUCUGUAAAUUUGCAACAAACAAAUGUAGCUACAGUUUAUAUUUGAUUACAAGGUUAGAGAACAUUUUCAACUCAGCCUCGUUAAAAAGUGCUUAUUUUAAAAUAUGGCAAUCUACUGGGUGUUUACAGGAGACGAGAGGCGCUGAUUGGGCCAUGGUAGAUCGACGCGUAAAUCCACCAAUCACAGCGUGCUUUUCUCGUGACGUAGGAACAUUUGAAAUUGACGAACAGCGCGAAUGGUAGUUGAAGAAAUUGGCGCAAAAUGUCCCUGGUCUGAUUGUCUUUUUGACGGAAAAAGCGAGUACGGACUCGUUCACAAACAGAGUCGCGGCAGAUACAGAGUUGUGAUGGAGGAUGUUUUACCCGCUGGCCUGGGACAGUUUGUGGCCCAAACAACAGAACUGUCUUCUGGUCAACGGAACUCUACCCUCAACAAUAAAUACUGGAAUAAUCCAAACGGCCUACUUAAAUAUGGACACUGAUGAUGCAACAAAAAGUCUUAAUUUACAACAAAGGUAGCCUACUUUGGGGCUGACAGACAGCCAUUGUGAAGGACACAAUCUGGCAAAAAUUUACCUGCAGAAGUGAAUGGGAGGAUAUGGGCUCUGAGAAAAAACUCUACACACAGACGCUCUACACCAGGGCCGUGCACAGACCUUUUGAGGGGCAUGUGCCGAAACUAAAAAAGGGCACCCCCCCCCCCAACCCCAAUAAAUAACACAAAAUAAUAGUAUCAAAAGCUUUAUAUUUAUUCACUAUUGAUGACAGUUAUAUAGAUUAUAUAUGUAUGUGUGUCUAUAUAGCAUAUAUAUAUAUAUAUAUAUAUAUAUAUAUAUUUUUACACACACACACAGGGUUUCAGGGCUUCUUUAAAACUAAUUACUACAGCAAUCUUCUGUGAGCCAUGUGCUUGAAGAUGUUUAUGACUUCAAUGUGAUCCACUGGGAUGUCCCUCUCAACACACAUUAAUACACACACUACAUUCUGCAUGAUAAAAUAUAAGCACAGUGCUGAUUCUGUAAUAUUUUUUAGCUACUACAACAUUACUGUAGUAAAACCAUGUUUUACUAUGUUUAUAUAUGUGAAGACGAGCGGGGAGUAGUAUACAAUAGAUUCAAAAAAAUUUCUAGCGAGCAAAUACAUAUUAACAUCGUAAACAUUAACCAUACUGUGUGACCAUAUAUAAUAUGAUUAAAUGUUAAUGAAUUAAGUGUAUCAGCAGA